rnacentral:rRNA from 1 species
GAUGAACGCUAGCGGCAGGCUUAACACAUGCAAGUCGAGGGGUAUUGGUUUUCGGACCAAGAGACCGGCGCACGGGUGCGUAACGCGUAUGCAAUCUACCUUUUGCAGAGGGAUAGCCCAGAGAAAUUUGGAUUAAUACCUCAUAGUAUAGUACUUUGGCAUCAAGGAACUAUUAAAGUCACAACGGCAAAGAUGAGCAUGCGUCCCAUUAGCUAGUUGGUAAGGUAACGGCUUACCAAGGCUACGAUGGGUAGGGGUCCUGAGAGGGAGAUCCCCCACACUGGUACUGAGACACGGACCAGACUCCUACGGGAGGCAGCAGUGAGGAAUAUUGGACAAUGGGCGCAAGCCUGAUCCAGCCAU